GAUCCGGUGGCGCAAUGGUAACGCGUCUGACUCCAGAUCAGAAGGCUGCGUGUUCGAUUUACGUCCGGAUCA